GACGAACGCUGGCGGCGUGCUUAACACAUGCAAGUCGAACGGAAAGGCCCUGCUUUUGUGGGGUGCUCGAGUGGCGAACGGGUGAGUAACACGUGAGUAACCUGCCCUUGACUUUGGGAUAACUUCAGGAAACUGGGGCUAAUACUGGAUAGGAGCUCCUGCUGCAUGGUGGGGGUUGGAAAGUUUCGGCGGUUGGGGAUGGACUCGCGGCUUAUCAGCUUGUUGGUGGGGUAGUGGCUUACCAAGGCUUUGACGGGUAGCCGGCCUGAGAGGGUGACCGGCCACAUUGGGACUGAGAUACGGCCCAGACUCCUACGGGAGGCAGCAGUGGGGAAUAUUGCACAAUGAGCGGAAGCCUGAUGCAGCAACGCCGCGUGCGGGAUGACGGCCUUCGGGUUGUAAACCGCUUUCGCCUGUGACGAAGCGUGAGUGACGGUAAUGGGUAAAGAAGCACCGGCUAACUACGUG
rnacentral:rRNA from 1 species